GCGGUGGAUGAUGUGGAUUAAUUCGAUGCAACGCGAAAACCUUACUACCCUUGACAUGUCCGGAAUCCCGAAGAGAUUUGGGAGUGCUCGCAAGAGAGCCGGAACACAGGUGCUGCAUGGCUGUCGUCAGCUCGUGUCGUGAGAUGUUGGGUUAAGUCCCGCAACGAGCGCAACCCUUGUCAUUAGUUGCCAUCAUUUGGUUGGGCACUCUAAUGAGACUGCCGGUGACAAACCGGAGGAAGGUGGGGAUGACGUCAAGUCCUCAUGGCCCUUAUAGGUGGGGCUACACACGUCAUACAAUGGCCGGUACAGAGGGUAGCCAACCCGCGAGGGGGAGCCAAUCCCACAAAGCCGGUCGUAGUCCGGAUCGCAGUCUGCAACUCGACUGCGUGAAGUCGGAAUCGCUAGUAAUCGCGGAUCAGCAUGUCGCGGUGAAUACGUUCCCGGGUCUU
rnacentral:rRNA from 1 species